AUUAGCCAUGCAUGUCUCAGUACAUGCCGAAUUAAGGUGAAACCGCGAAUGGCUCAUUAAAUCAGUUAUGGUUCAUUAGAUCGUGGACACAUUUACUUGGAUAACUGUGGUAAUUCUAGAGCUAAUACAUGCAAACAGAAUUCCUCUCAGAGAUGGGAGGAAUGCUUUUAUUAGAUCAAAACCAAUCGGUGGCGGACGGCUCGUCCGUUCGUCCAUCGUUUGUUUUGGUGACUCUGAAUAACUUUGUGCUGAUCGCAUGGUCAUCUAGCACCGGCGACGCAUCUUUCAAAUGUCUGCCUUAUCAACUGUCGAUGGUAGGUUCUGCGCCUACCAUGGUUGUAACGGGUAACGGGGAAUCAGGGUUCGAUUCCGGAGAGGGAGCCUGAGAAACAGCUACCACAUCCAAGGAAGGCAGCAGGCGCGCAAAUUACCCACUCCCGGCACGGGGAGGUAGUGACGAAAAAUAACGAUACGGGACUCAUCCGAGGCCCCGUAAUCGGAAUGAGUACACUUUAAAUCCUUUAACGAGGACCAAUUGGAGGGCAAGUCUGGUGCCAGCAGCCGCGGUAAUUCCAGCUCCAAUAGCGUAUAUUAAAGUUGUUGCGGUUAAAAAGCUCGUAGUUGAAUCUGUGUGUCACAGUGUCGGUUCACCGCUCGCGGUGUUUAACUGGCAUUAUGUGGUACGUCCUAUCGGUGGGCUUAGCUCCUUGCGGGCGGUCCAACUAAUAUCCCAUCGCGGUGCUCUUCACUGAGUGUCGAGGUGGGCCGAUACGUUUACUUUGAAAAAAUUAGAGUGCUUAAAGCAGGCUACCUUUGCCUGAAUACUGUGUGCAUGGAAUAAUGGAAUAGGACCUCGGUUCUAUUUUGUUGGUUUUCGGAACCCCGAGGUAAUGAUUAAUAGGGACAGAUGGGGGCAUUCGUAUUGCGACGUUAGAGGUGAAAUUCUUGGAUCGUCGCAAGACGGACAGAAGCGAAAGCAUUUGCCCAAAAAUGUUUUCAUUAAUCAAGA
rnacentral:rRNA from 1 species